CCUACGGGAGGCAGCAGUAGGGAAUAUUGCUCAAUGGGCGAAACCCUGAAGCAGCAACGCCGCGUGAGGGAUUAAUGUUUUAUGAUUUGUAACUCCUUUUUUUAGAGAAGCUUAUGACGGUCUCUAACGACUAAGCACCUGCUAACUGCGAGACCACAGCCUCGGUAAUGCGGAAGGUGCGCGCCUUAAUCGGGAUCAAUGGGGGUAAAGGGUGCUUCUGGGGGUUAAUGAGUCAGAUGUGAAAUCCUGUAGGGUAAAUACAGACCUGCCUUUGAAACUGUUACUCUGGAGUGUGCGAGAGGUAGGUGGAAUUCUUGGUGUAGGGGUAAAAUCCAUAGAGAUCACGCGGAACACCGAUUGCGAAGGCGACAUGCUGGUGCACUACUGACGCUCAUGCACGAAAGCGUGGGUAGCGAACAGGAUUAGAUACCCCUGUAGUC
rnacentral:rRNA from 1 species